UACGGAGGGUGCAAGCGUUGUCCGGAAUCACUGGGCGUAAAGGGCGCGUAGGCGGCUCGGUAAGUCGGGGGUGAAAUCCUGCGGCUCAACCGCAGGGCUGCCUUCUAAACUGUCGAGCUCGAGCACAGUAGAGGCAGAUGGAAUUCCCGGUGUAGCGGUGGAAUGCGUAGAGAUCGGGAAGAACAUCAGUGGCGAAGGCGGUCUGCUGGGCCGUUGCUGACGCUGAGGCGCGACAGCGUGGGGAGCAAACAGG
rnacentral:rRNA from 1 species